GUUCAAUGCCAGCCUGGUCUACAUAGUUCUAAGCCCAGACUAGAAGGGAAGAGGCCUCUCACAAGAGGGGCUUGUGCCUGCUUGCGGGAAAAUCAUCACAUGCUUCCGUGACCUGCUUCAGAGAAAGAUACCCUGAUGCACUUCUUUCUGAACCUGAGGGCUGGGCCCUAGAACCUGUGUCCCCAACAAGACUCAGGCACGAUGAUGAGCCAAAGUAGACCCUGGGAAAAAGACAUUUUUGCCAUUGUUGGUUUGCCCAAGGUCUUUGCUGGCGACAGGAAGGAUCUCCUAGAAAAACCUUGUUCCAAAGGUAACAUGGGCAAGGAAGAUGCUGGAGCCGAGCUGAGCUGAGCUAUGGAGAACUUGGGGCCUGGGUUUCUUCUCAGCUAUGAUGGUAGUGACUGCCACCUGCCGUUAGUGAACAUGACUAAUGCGUUCUUUGUUUUACCUGCCUACUCCCAAAGGCUAGAAAAAUAUAGCUCCUGGAACAGAUCUCCCAGCUUCCGAGAUUUGUAAAUAAACUUUUAUUAAAACCUA